rnacentral:lncRNA from 1 species
UUAUCACAUAUUUUGGCUAAGAAGAAAUUAUACCAGAAGUAGGAAAAGAACUAGUUCUGCCAUUUUGUUGUUGUUGCUUUUAUCUUCAUUAUUGAUCUUUUCAAUCCUUGUCCUCUUUGCAUGAUUGUUUUAAAAUCAUACGCUUGUUUCAGGCUAUGUUCUCAAGAAGCAGAACUUGAGAUGAAGAUUCCUGUGCCAGCGAUUCUUUUGAGAGAGUGAUGUCAGCUGAAACCUGUAAGGGAGUGAGAGAAACAGAAUAGGACAGAGGAAGAAGCUAGGCAAAGACAUGGGUUCAGUUGAAAUCUAUCUUCAUUUUGAUCCCAUGAGCAGCUCUGGAGUGUGGAUGGCACCAUGGACUUGUCUCUUCUUGAGGCAAGGAAGCAAGCUUUAGUAUUCCUGUAUUAUUCAGUCGUGGGCUAUGGGCCGCCUGGAGUUAGUGCAGGAGGGUGGUGGCAGAGUGUGAUGUUCCUGAUUAGGUAGCAUCCAUCAUUUAUGGUCAGUUCUUCACAGAAAGAUACAGGUAUGAACUGGUAGCAGCCAAGAGUCACAGCAUGUAGGGAAUGGGGACCAUGACCAGUAAGUAGAAUCUGGGCAGGGAACCAACACCCAUUUUUUGAAGUUACUUAAGGCUAAAUAUUAUAAUUGGGAAAUCUUUUACUUAACCAUUGUACAAUGUGUCAGCUGAAAAUGAACAAACAAGUGAGAGUGACACUUAGGGAAUUCAUGCUCUUGUCCCUGAUACUCCCUACCUGAUGUGACCAUCAGGCCUUCAGACUGGUGAAGAUGCAAAUGUCAACCUACACACUAAUCUUAGUGUAGCAUAAACACACCUGAGAGCAAUAAGUGAAGCCUACCCUGAGAAUGACCCUGUAUGGCAGAUGCAUCUGAAUGUGUGUUCUAAGCUAGGGAAUCUGGGAGUGGCCAACCUGGACAUUUUUUCCUUAUCAAUGAUGAACAUCUGAACCCCUGUCCUGCCCUGUUCAUGGCAGUGGCAGCCCAUCUGGAGCAGCCUCUCUGACAAUGCUGGCUGCAGCCGGGAGGCGCGGCUGAGUGGGGUCUGAGGGCAGCUCAGUGCUGGGCUGCAGGCACCACUCUGCAAGAGCAGCCUGGGCACCAUGAACAGUGGCAGGAGGCAGGCAGGCUCCUGGGUGGAAAGGGGAAGGUCCCUGGUGAAGCCCCGCCUUCAAGCUGGGGAAGGCGUGAAGCCUGGGGACCAGGCUGCCAGCCCUGCAGACCAGAGUGGGAAUUUGUGCUUUUUUCUGGGCCCGCCCAUGGCUGCCUGUGGACCAAUCAGCAAGCACUUCCUUGCUGAUAAAAACCUGACUCAGCCAGACUCAGGGAGAUGACAGGAUGACCAGCUAUGGAGAGGAGCUACCCACCCCAGGGUCUCCUCUCUGCUGAGAGCCGAACACUUGAUGGGACACCCUCCCUUCAAAGAGGAGCUACCCACUGUGGGUCUCUGAGCUGUUCUGUUGCUCAGUAAAGCUCUUCUUCGCCUUGCUCACCCUCCACUUGUCCACGUACCUCAUUCUUUCUGGACACAGGACGAGAACUCAGGACCUGCCGCAUGGCGGGUCUAAAAGAGCUGUAACACAAACAGGGCUGAAACACACCCCUUGCUUGCCACAUUGCAGGAGACAAGGAGAGAAGAGCUGUGGCCCUUUGAUGAGCUCAGACCUAGAAGCUCCCCAAGCCAAGGCUGUGACAUACUCUUUGACACUGCAUUUCCUGGCAUCUCCAAGCUUCUGGGCAGCACCACGUUCCCCAGUGCCAGCUGUGGAAGCUACUUGUGGUACACCUGGUUCAGCUGCAGCUUCGCAGGGAGCCAGUGCCCGUGGUGGUGCCUGGAGCUGCCUGCCCUACUGCAGCCGAUGUGCCUGGCUGUUUGCAGUGGCUGGACCCCGUGCUCACUUGCUCACACACCUGUCACCACUCCACUCCACUCAUCUCAGAAGGUGUGGGAUCUUGGCAGGUAGCAUGAGCUGAGCACAGCCUGACAGGCUGAUUCGGCCCAAUGGGCCUGAGCAAAACUCAGGCAAAGGCGCCACUGGCCACAGAGGUUUCCGGCUGGAAAAGCAACACCCCCAAGGAUCCCAUAACACAGUGGACCAGGGGCCAUACAGGGGAUUUAGGCCCUGAGUUU